GACGAACGCUGGCGGCGUGCUUAACACAUGCAAGUCGAACGGAAAGGCCUGCUUUCCCUUGUGGAUUGCGGGUACUCGAGUGGCGAACGGGUGAGUAACACGUGAGUGAUCUGCCCCCAACUUGGGUAUAAGCCUGGGAAACUGGGUCUAAUUCCCGAUAGGACUGCAGGGUGGUGCCUGUGGUGGAAAACGAUUUACUAGUGGUUGGGGAUGAGCUCGCGGCCUAUCAGCUUGUUGGUGGGGUAAUGGCCUACCAAGGCGGCGACGGGUAGCCGGCCUGGGAGGGUGGACGGCCACAUUGGGACUGAGAUACGGCCCAGACUCCUACGGGAGGCAGCAGUGGGGAAUAUUGCACAAUGGGCGGAAGCCUGAUGCAGCGACGCCGCGUGGGGGAUGACGGCCUUCGGGUUGUAAACUCCUUUCGACCGCGAGGAAGCCACCUGGUUGGAAGGGUGGUGACGGUAGUGGUAGAAGAAGCACCGGCUAACUACGUG
rnacentral:rRNA from 1 species